UUGACCUCAAAUCAGGUAGGACUACCCGCUGAACUUAAGCAUAUCAAUAAGCGGAGGAAAAGAAACUAACAAGGAUUCCCCUAGUAACUGCGAGUGAAGCGGGAAAAGCUCAAAUUUGAAAUCUGGCAGUCUUUGAUUGUCCGAGUUGUAAUCUAGAGAAGUUGUUACCUGUGCAGGACCGUGUACAAGUCUCCUGGAAUGGGGCAUCAUAGAGGGUGAGAAUCCCGUCUUUGACAUGGACUACCUGUAUGUUGUGGUGCGCUCUCAAAGAGUCGAGUUGUUUGGGAAUGCAGCUCAAAAUGGGUGGUAAAUGCCAUCUAAAGCUAAAUAUUGGCGAGAGACCGAUAGCGAACAAGUACCGUGAGGGAAAGAUGAAAAGCACUUUGGAAAGAGAGUUAAACAGUACGUGAAAUUGCUGAAAGGGAAACGCUUGAAGUCAGUCACAUUGGCCAGAAAUCAGCCUUGCUUUUGUGAGGUGUACUUUCUGUUUGAUGGGUCAGCAUCAAUUUUGAUCGCUGGAUAAAGUCUCUGGGAAUGUGGCAUCUUCGGAUGUGUUAUAGCCCAUUGUCGUAUGCAGUGGUUGGGAUUGAGGAACUCAGCACGCCGAAAGGCCGGGUUUCGACCAUGUUCGUGCUUAGGAUGCUGGCAUAAUGGCUUUAAUCGACCCGU
rnacentral:rRNA from 1 species